GUUACAGAGGAUGCGAUAACUCUUCUAAUCUCUAGGGGCUUCUGCAUGCUCUGGUGCACAUACAUACAUGCAGGCACAUGCAUAUACACAUAAGAUCACAAACAAACAGACAAACGAGAAAAAAAACACACUCAGUAAAAAAAAAAAAAAAGUAGAACCAGAAUUAAAUUUUGGUAUUAAAUUUUAGCGUCAAGGGUUAUCACUCAUGGACAAACCAAAUUUUCCUACAAUGUAAGAAACUCUUUGGAUGAAAACCGUUGGCCGAAACUUACCUUUAGCCAUGGUUAAUUCACUAGUACUUAGUUCUACUUUAAACAGCACUUUGUAAAGUUUUGACUUUAGUACCAUUGAAGCAAACCUGAUGCCCUAUAACUUCCUUCCCCAUACUUAGGCAAAUGUGUUGAAUUGUUGUGAGGUUUCUGCAUGUAUUUAGGUGACUAAAAGGCUUCUUGGCCUCACAGACCACUCAGUCUAAUAAGCAGGACAAAUAGUUAAACAGGUGAAGUUCUGGGUCAUGUUUUAGGAUGGAACAGAAUGGUUCUGGAGAAGCUUAUUGAGAGAGAGAGAGAGAGAGAGAGAGAGAGAGAGAGAGAGAGAGAGAGAGAGAACACUUGUGUAGACGUCAGAUGACAGUAUUUUGGAGUUGUUUUUUCCCUAUGACCACUUGAGUUCUGGAAUCAAACCCAAGUUGCCAGACUGGCACAGCAAUUACCUUCAUCUACAGACCCAUCUUUCUGGUUUUAGUCGUUUUGCCAGCUGACAGGAGAU
rnacentral:lncRNA from 1 species